rnacentral:rRNA from 1 species
CGGAAUCUACUUUUUCGUGGGGGAUAACGUAGGGAAACUUACGCUAAUACCGCAUACGACCUACGGGUGAAAGCAGGGGAUCUUCGGACCUUGCGCGAUUGAAUGAGCCGAUGUCGGAUUAGCUAGUUGGCGGGGUAAAGGCCCACCAAGGCGACGAUCCGUAGCUGGUCUGAGAGGAUGAUCAGCCACACUGGAACUGAGACACGGUCCAGACUCCUACGGGAGGCAGCAGUGGGGAAUAUUGGACAAUGGGCGCAAGCCUGAUCCAGCCAUACCGCGUGGGUGAAGAAGGCCUUCGGGUUGUAAAGCCCUUUUGUUGGGAAAGAAAUCCAGCCGGUUAAUACCUGGUUGGGAUGACGGUACCCAAAGAAUAAGCACCGGCUAACUUCGUGCCAGCAGCCGCGGUAAUACGAAGGGUGCAAGCGUUACUCGGAAUUACUGGGCGUAAAGCGUGCGUAGGUGGUCGUUUAAGUCCGUUGUGAAAGCCCUGGGCUCAACCUGGGAACUGCAGUGGAUACUGGGCGACUAGAGUGUGGUAGAGGGUAGCGGAAUUCCUGGU